UAGGGAAUCUUCGGCAAUGGACGAAAGUCUGACCGAGCAACGCCGCGUGAGUGAAGAAGGUUUUCGGAUCGUAAAACUCUGUUGUUAGAGAAGAACAAGGACGUUAGUAACUGAACGUCCCCUGACGGUAUCUAACCAGAAAGCCACGGCUAACUACGUGCCAGCAGCCGCGGUAAUACGUAGGUGGCAAGCGUUGUCCGGAUUUAUUGGGCGUAAAGCGAGCGCAGGCGGUUUCUUAAGUCUGAUGUGAAAGCCCCCGGCUCAACCGGGGAGGGUCAUUGGAAACUGGGAGACUUGAGUGCAGAAGAGGAGAGUGGAAUUCCAUGUGUAGCGGUGAAAUGCGUAGAGAUAUGGAGGAACACCAGUGGCGAAGGCGGCUCUCUGGUCUGUAACUGACGCUGAGGCGCGAAAGCGUGGGGAGCAAACAGG
rnacentral:rRNA from 1 species